rnacentral:rRNA from 1 species
GAUGAACGCUGGCUACAGGCUUAACACAUGCAAGUCGAGGGGAAACGGCAUUUGGUGCUUGCACCGAAUGGACGUCGACCGGCGCACGGGUGAGUAACGCGUAUCCAACCUUCCCGUUACUGCGGGAUAACCUGCCGAAAGGCAGACUAAUACCGCAUGUUCUUCGAUGACGGCAUCAGAUUCGAAGCAAAGAUCCGUCGGUAACGGAGGGGGAUGCGUCUGAUUAGCUAGUUGGCGGGGCGACGGCCCACCAAGGCGACAAUCAGUAGGGGUUCUGAGAGGAAGGUCCCCCACAUUGGAACUGAGACACGGUCCAAACUCCUACGGGAGGCAGCAGUGAGGAAUAUUGGUCAAUGGGCGGAAGCCUGAACCAGCCAAGUAGCGUGCAGGAUGACGGCCCUACGGGUUGUAAACUGCUUUUAUGCGGGGAUAAAGUGAGGGACGCGUCCCUUUUUGCAGGUACCGCAUGAAUAAGGACGG